GGGGAAAGAGGCGGAGCGGGCGACGACUGGGCGACUCGGAGAGCGGUUCCCCAAGCGGCCCUCGGAGUCGGGUGGCCUCAGUGACCUGGGAGUACCGCGACUUUUGAUUCCGUGUCAGGUGGAGUGCCAAUAUCGGAACUUAAUUGAUGACAAGACUCAGUCCCGACACAAAUGAAGUAUCCGGUAUUUUCUUCAGCUACAGCAUUGGCGUGUAAUCCACUAAAGGCACAGCCUGAUCACCUCAUCAACUUUGUCUGAAGUUGGGUCCAGCAUUGACUUGAGGAGGGGCACCCUACCACCUUCAAGGCAGGCAAACUACCAUUUGGACCAAUUGCCUAUCAUUCCCCAGGUACUGCACAAGUUAAAAUGUAACAAGGAUUUACAUUCUGUCAUCUGAAAUUUCCCAUCUCAGAUUUUAUUUUUAAUUUGGUGGAUAAUUUCAUUUUUUAAACCGAGAGCUCCCAUCAGGAAGUUCUUCUCUGUAUG